rnacentral:lncRNA from 1 species
UAAAAUCGAGAGAUUUAGAAGUUAAAAGGGAAUCAAGAGAGGCUAGGGAAGAAAUUAUGUUUGUAAGAGGAAGAAGUGAAAAAAGAGAGAAUGACUUUCAGGUGAGGAAAGUGAAAGGAAAAUCAAAGGAGAGAUCUAUAUCCCAAGAUAAAAGUAACAAGAAUUGUUAUGGCAGUAGGGAGCUAGCGCACUUUAAGAGAGAUCGCUUUGAGUGGAAAAUGAAGAAAAAUGAUCAAAACGAUAUGGAAUCGAACAAUAUUGCUGUUGGACAUGACUUGGACAGCUUGUAUGUUAUGACUGUAUCUUGUGAAGAUAUUAGUCGAGACUGGAUUUUAGAUUCAGGGUGCAUAUUCCAUAUGUCCCGUCAGCUCAUGGUUUUAUAACUAUAGGGAAGUUGAACCUAGUAAUGUUUAUAUGGGUGAUAAUAAUUCUCAUACUAUCAAUGGUAUUGGGGACAUAGCCAUCAAGAUGCCUGACGGUAUUAUCAGGCAAUUAAGAAAUGUUAGGUAUGUUCCUAAUCUUAAAAGGAAUCUCAUAUCUUUGGGAAUCCUUGAGAAUGAAGGACAUGACUUUAAAUCUAAAAAUAAUACACUAAAAGUCAUGAGAGGUUCCCUAGUUGUAAUAAAAGGACCUAAGAAAAAUGGGUUGUACUACCUGAUGGGUGAGGCAAUUACUUCACAAGAAGCUAAUCUCCUUAGUGUUAUUGAUGACAAAUCUGAAUUGUGGCACAAAAGAAUGGGGCAUAUAGGAAAUAAAUGUUUGAAACAUUUGAGCGACCAAAAGUUACUUGGUAAAGGUCUUAUUGAACAUUUAAACUUUUGUGAGACUUGUUUGUUGGGAAAGUCCACAGGGUGAGUUUUGAGGUGGGUUCACAUAUAGCAAAAAGACCUUUGGAUUAUAUCUAUGCAGAUUUGUGGGAGCCUGAAGAGCAUCCCAGUUUUGGUGGAAAUAAGUACUUUCUAUAUUUAGUAGAUGAUUACUCAAGAAAAGUAUGGGUUUACCCCUUAAAGGUUAAAUCUAAGACUUUUCAUAAAUUCUGGACUUGGCUUAAAAUUGUGGAAAAUCAAUUGGAUAAGAAGUUAAAGACUUCGAGAACGGAUAAUGGUCUAGAGUUUUGUAAUGCGAAAUUUGAUAACUUUUGUAAGCAAAAGGGAAUCAUGAGACAAAAGACGGUUAAGUACACAACUCAACAAGAUGGGGUGGCAAAAAGAAUAAAUAAGACUUUGAUGAAUAAGGCUAGGACUAUGUUAGUCAGUUCAGGACUUGAUAAGGGGUUUUGGACUGAGGCAUUAUGCACAACAGCAUAUUUGAUUAAUAGAUCGACAUCUAGUUGUGUCAAGUUUAAGACUCCUCAAGAAC